rnacentral:rRNA from 1 species
AAUAUUGCACAAUGGGCGCAAGCCUGAUGCAGCCAUGCCGCGUGUAUGAAGAAGGCCUUCGGGUUGUAAAGUACUUUCAGCAGUGAGGAAGGUGGGUAUGUUAAUAGCAUAUUCAUUUGACGUUAGCUGCAGAAGAAGCACCGGCUAACUCCGUGCCAGCAGCCGCGGUAAUACGGAGGGUGCGAGCGUUAAUCGGAAUUACUGGGCGUAAAGCGCAUGCAGGUGGUUUGUUAAGUCAGAUGUGAAAGCCCGGGGCUCAACCUCGGAAUUGCAUUUGAAACUGGCAAACUAGAGUACUGUAGAGGGGGUAGAAUUUCAGGUGUAGCGGUGAAAUGCGUAGAGAUCUGAAGGAAUACCGGUGGCGAAGGCGGCCCCCUGGACAGAUACUGACACUCAGAUGCGAAAGCGUGGGGAGCAAACAGGAUUAGAUACCCCGGUAG